UACGAACUGUGCGAACGUUAUUCGGAAUCACUGGGCUUACAGGGUGCGUAGGCGGCUAUUCAGGUCAGGUGUGAAAGCCCCUCGGCUCAACCGAGGAACUGCGCUUGAAACCGGAUGGCUCGAGUCAACUAGAGGUGCACGGAACUUCCAGUGGGAGCGGUGAAAUGUGUUGAUAUUGGAAGGAACACCGGAGGCGAAAGCGGUGCACUGGGG
rnacentral:rRNA from 1 species